GACCUCGGAUCAGGUAGGGAUACCCGCUGAACUUAAGCAUAUCAAUAAGCGGAGGAAAAGAAACCAACAGGGAUUGCCCUAGUAACGGCGAGUGAAGCGGCAACAGCUCAAAUUUGAAAUCUGGCUCUUUCAGAGUCCGAGUUGUAAUUUGCAGAGGGCGCUUUGGAGUUGGCAGCGGUCCAAGUUCCUUGGAACAGGACGUCACAGAGGGUGAGAAUCCCGUACGUGGUCGCUAGCCUUCGCCGUGUAAAGCCCCUUCGACGAGUCGAGUUGUUUGGGAAUGCAGCUCUAAAUGGGAGGUAAAUUUCUUCUAAAGCUAAAUACUGGCCAGAGACCGAUAGCGCACAAGUAGAGUGAUCGAAAGAUGAAAAGCACUUUGGAAAGAGAGUCAAAUAGCACGUGAAAUUGUUGAAAGGGAAGCGC
rnacentral:rRNA from 1 species